CACAUUUUCCCAGGAGGCGUUGUGUUGCAAAGUUUAGCAUCAAGAAGGAAAAUAUCCUCAGAGGAGGUUGACAAACAGGUGGGAAAAUACAAAGAUGCCAAGAGAUCAGAGAUCCAGGCCCAGUGGAUCUCUGGGGAAGUGAUCGGUAGGGUCUCUGCAGGAACUUCCCCACUGCUGCACCUACCUCAGAAGAUCCCCUGGAUAAAGGGAGGUGCGAUAGCUUAUCCCUGGCUGUUACAACAACUGUUUGCUAGAACUGUACAGAGUGAGUCUGGAACAAAGAAGCUCAACAGACAUCUUCAUAAAAUUAUAAAGAUGAAAAGCCUGGAAAGGACCUCCAGAGAUCAUCUUGUCCCACAGCUUCCCACUGAGCCGGGAUGAAGUACCACCACCCCCUCCUUGUAAGGUGUUGGCCUAACCUGUUCCCAGAACCACCACUGAAGGGGAUAAACACGGACAGAAAGCCUAACCUUUAUAGUUCUUCCCAAAGUGCAGCUUAAAUGUUCUUUGCUGCAAAUUAGGUUGAUUUAUUUUUCUCCUUCUCAGUGGCUGUGGAGAACAAAUGAUGACUGUCCUCUUUAAAACAGUUGUUUACAUAUUGAAAAACUUAUACUUUUCCCCCAUAGUCUUUUUUCUCUAGACUAAACAAACUCAGUUUCUUCAACAUUUCCUCAUCACUCAUGCUUUAUAAACCUUUUUUUCAUUCCUGUUGCUUUCUUCUGGACUGUCUCCAAUUUGUCUAUAUCCUCAAUUCUGUUGGGCCAUGCUUGGCUACAGCUGACAAUCUGUCCCUAAGAAAAGUAUCACACUUUUGACUGAGACUUUAGAGAUCUGUUUCCAGAUUCAGCAUUUUUCUGUGGUAGACAUAAGCAUUUUAGCUUCUAUUAAUAUCAAUAAAUAUAUAAAAUAAA
rnacentral:lncRNA from 1 species